AGUAGUUGAUCAUGGCUCAGAACGAACGCUGGCGGCAUGCCUAACACAUGCAAGUCGAACGAGACCUUCGGGUCUAGUGGCGCACGGGUGCGUAACGCGUGGGAAUCUGCCCUUUGCUUCGGAAUAACAGUUAGAAAUGACUGCUGAUACCGGAUGAUGUCUUCGGACCAAAGAUUUAUCGGCAAAGGAUGAGCCCGCGUAGGAUUAGGUAGUUGGUGGGGUAAAGGCCUACCAAGCCGACGAUCCUUAGCUGGUCUGAGAGGAUGAUCAGCCACACUGGGACUGAGACACGGCCCAGACUCCUACGUGAGGCAGCAGUGGGGAAUAUUGGACAAUGGGCGCAAGCCUGAUCCAGCAAUGCCGCGUGAGUGAUGAAGGCCUUCGGGUCGUAAAGCUCUUUACCAGGGAUGAUAAUGACAGUACCUGGAGAAUAAGCUCCGGCUAACUCCGUG
rnacentral:rRNA from 1 species